AGCCCUUGUAGCGCAACGGAUAGCGUGCCGGUUUCCGGAAUCGGAGGUUGCGGGUUCGAAUCCUGGCGGGGCUC
rnacentral:tRNA from 1 species